AAUUUCAUGGCUCUCAGUUUACAGGAACGUAACAUUUGAUGCCAAUGAAAUUCAUUAGAAUUCUGCACGAUCCUGUGAACUGCGUGCCCAUCUGUCUUGUAUGUGUUUCCAGGGGUGGUUUACAACAGUCUUCGCCAUGUACUGGAUGGACGUGUACUUAUGAACACUCACACCGUGAGACCCAAGACGGUCCGUCUUAAAACAAGGCCAUAUCUGAUUUGGAUUAAAAUCCCCAUGGAGAGCCUGAUGUCACCCAGGAAAGUGCACGUCUACUUGCAUGCUCUUGAGAAAUGGUUGAGAAAACAGUCCUUCCAGCUCGGCAAAUACCAUUUUGUUUCUGUCUGCUCACCACCCUUGCAUUUGCAAUAAACCUGACAAAAACUUCGAGAGCGAAAAUGAGGAUGUUCAUAUUUGAAGGAGAUGUUGGCAGACGGCCACAGUCUUCAAGUACGCAAGCUCAUUCCGCUCUUGCUUUUCUGCCAGUAACUCCUUGGCCUCCGCACACGCUGCACAGGCAGGGCCUGAGGACGGAUCAUGAACGUGUCCGAUGAUCAUGGACCCGCCGAAGACUCCCGAUGGAGACGCGAUGACUCACAGCCAAGUGAACUUUCUCUGCUCCUGAACAAAUUGCUUCUCCUCCUCGUCCCACUCCAAAGCUAGAGGUGGGGCAACCCCAGCAUCCCGGGCGUGAACGCACCCAGCUUGAUUAUCUGGAGACCUCAUGCCUGCCUGGCAUAGGCCAACCCAGUAAUGUUCAUUUAAAGCUGGCUUUACUGGUCCUUCCUCCACAAUGAGAGGUGACCCUUCACUUCACCGAGAAAGGAAGGAAGAAAGCGUAAUAUUUCGUUGUGUGAAGAGGCCAUGAUUUCUCCGUUCCGCUGAGGAUCACUUGAGCUGUUUCCAGUUUGGGGCGUUAUGAACAAUGCCGCAGUGAGCAUUCUUGUCAGUGCUGGCGUAUCUCAUGGUAGGUUUGGAAAUAAAUUCUGAUGGGAAUUAAAACUGGUGUAACCUCUAUAAAGGGCAACUUAGCAAGAGCUGUCAAAAUUUAAAAAACACGUGCCCUUCUGGGAAUUAAUUCUACAGAUCUGCCCAAACAUGCAAAAUGUCUCAUGCACCAGGUUCUUCUUUGCAGCAUUUAUUUGCAAAAGGUGAGGGUAGAGACAACCUAAAUAUCCAUCAAUAAAUAUUUAUCCAUCCGUAGACUAGAAUACCAGGCAGCCACCAGAAGGAACGAGAAAGCUCAGUACCAGCAGGACCUCCAAGUUAAGUAAAAAAGCAAGAUGCUGAGCAGUACAUAUAGUUCUCUACCAUGUAGAUUAAAAAGGGAUGGAAUAUAUUUGCUUGUAUUUGCAUAAAAUAUCUAUGAGUAUACUCAAAAAAUAGAUAAUAUGAUCUAUGUAUGCGGGACGGGGGGAAGGAAGAUGUUUCCAUGUAUAUUCCUUUGUAAUCAUUGAAUUUUAAGCCAUAUGAAUGCAUUGUCUACUCAAAAACUCAAUUUAUUGUGAAAAGACUAAAAACCACUGAACAGUACACAUUAAAAUUCUAUGGUAUAUGAUUUAGAUCUCAAUGAAAAAUGUAUAUUGAGGCUGGACGCUGUGGCUCAUGCCUAUAAUCCCAGCACUUUGGGAGUCCGAGGCAGGUGGAUCACUUGAAGUCAGGAGUUUGAGACCAGCCUGGCCAACAUGGUGAAACCCUGUCUCUACUAAAAUACAUAAAUGAGCUAGGCAUGGUGAGGGGUGCGCUUGUAAUCCCAGCUACUCAGGAUGCCAAGGCAGGAGAAUUACUUGACCCUGGGAGGAGGCAGAGGUUGCAGUGAACCCAGAUCACACCACUGCACUCCAGCCUGGGCGACAGAGCAAGACUCUGUCUCAAAAAAAAAAAAUUACAUUUAAAAAAGCUCAGGCUAUAGGGUCCGGCAUGGAGGCUCACACAUGUAAUUCCAACAUUUUGGGAGGCUGAUGCAGGAGAAUCACUUAAGCCCAAGAGUUCAGGACCAGCUUGAGCAACAGUGAGAUUCCGUCUGUAU